rnacentral:ncRNA from 2 species
CCGGUGAGCCGCGACUGGCGCGACAGAGAUGGAAUCAACCAUCGGGAAGCGGCUCCGUGUCUCACGUUGUCGCCGUGCGCCUGGGCCGUCCGA